AUUCAUUUAGCCAUCCUAAGCUCUUGUGAUAGGAAGCAUUAAAACUAAUAAGUGAACUAAUUACAUAAAACUAAAUAUUGUGUCAGUUAUGUGUAUGGGGAGUAGCAAUAGGUUCAUCAGAGUUCUAAAAAUGUGAGCAUCAAAUAAGGCUUUUCCUUUAGCCACAGGAACCCGAGCAUGUGAGUUUCUAAUGGGAUUAUAUGGGGAAAAUAUUAGAUGUUUCCAUGAAGUAAAUUAACAACUUCUGAUUCUUUGUGAUAUUUUUAUUUUCCAUUGACUCAUUGAUUUCUACCCAUAUUACUAAUCAUUGUCAUUUAAAUUUUCCCUAAGAUCUUCCUAAAAUU
rnacentral:lncRNA from 1 species